UACGGGGGGAGCAAGCGUUGUUCGGAUUUACUGGGCGUAAAGGGCGCGUAGGCGGCCAGCACAAGUCAGUUGUGAAAUCUCCGAGCUUAACUCGGAAAGGUCAACUGAUACUGUGCGGCUAGAGUGCGGAAGGGGCAACUGGAAUUCCCGGUGUAGUGGUGAAAUGCGUAGAUAUCGGGAGGAACACCAGUGGCGAAGGCGACUUCCUGGCCUGUUCUUGACGCUGAGGCGCGAAAGCUAGGGGAGCAAACGGG
rnacentral:rRNA from 1 species